GAUGAAGAACGUAGCGAAAUGCGAUAAGUAGUGUGAAUUGCAGAAUUCAGUGAAUCAUCGAAUCUUUGAACGCACAUUGCGCCCCUUGGUAUCCCGAGGGGCAUCCUGUUCGAGCGUCAUUUCACCACUCAAGCCUGGCUUGGUGUUGGGCGACGUCCCCUUUGGGGACGCGCCUCGAAACGCUCGGCGGCGUGGCACCGGCUUUAAGCGUAGCAGAAUCUUUCGCUUUGGAAGUCGGGGCCCCGUCUGCCGGAAGACCUACUCGCAAGGUUGACCUCGGAUCAGGCAGGGAUACCCGCUGAACUUAAGCAUAUCAAUAAGCGGAGGA
rnacentral:misc_RNA from 1 species